ACCCAGAUGGGUAACUCUAACAGGAAUGGCAGUGCUUUAGGAUUUGAUGUUCACGAAGAAAGUGGAAUUCCUGAGCAAUGCAGAGGAAGGUAAUGGGGAUAAUAAGGCAAAGCAAGGAGAGCAGCUGGGGGAAGUGAGGGAAAGGCUGAAAGGAAAAGAACAGGCAGCAUGCAGGGCACCUUAUAGUGCAGUAAUGAGCUCUAGGAGCACUAUAUUGUGCCACUCUGUGUAGUGGAUAACCAUCUAUGUGUAUACGUUCCCUUUGCCUGUCUGCGCAACCAGCAGCCGCACAGCAAAGGCGGCUUCCGGGGCACUGCUGGAAAUGCCUCGGAGCGGUUCUCGCACCUCCCGACAGCGCUGCGGCUCUGCUGCCACCUGCUGGACGCCGGUCGGUACUGCAGGCACUGCCCCAGCAAGGGUCCCUGGUGUAUUCCAGGCACCGGAGACGUGCAGUGGUUUCUCCUGGGGCUCCUCAGUGUUCUCUAGGCUGCUCUAGAUGCUUCCCAGAGCGUCCUAGAGGCCUCUCAAGAGCCAACCUAUGUGCUCAGAGAAACGCUAGUGUGCUUCCAGAGCUCCUGUAUGUGUUCUCAGGAGGGUUCCAAGUGUGCCCUAGAUGCCUCCAAGAUGCCCCCAGCAUAAUCUGAGGAAUCCUGGAGUACUCCCAGAGCUCCUCAGUGUUCACUAGGAUGCUGUAGAAGUCUCACAUUGUGCCCUAGAGGCUUUCAAGGACACCCCAGUGGACCCCCUCAGCCCCGGCGCUGAGCCAAUCGGAUGCCGCGAUAGGCGCAGGGGUGGCUGAGAGCCAAACCGGUCCGUUCCCGGCACUGAGCGCUCCCCUGAUCUGAGUAGCGAGCGUAAAUCCAUGCAAGUACCACUUGCUUUGGUGCAUGCGCACUGCUGCCGGAGGACCAGUCACCAUAGAGCGGUGGUUUCUCUGUGCAGAGCAGCUAGAAGUCAGACGUCACUUCCGGCUUCCUGUGCACACGCGUCUUACUGCCUGGAGGCUCAAACACCAUAGAAGUUGGCGGACUCGAGGCGCAGAGCGGCUACAUGCAAAUUACGGAUGCGCUGAGCCAAUCGGCGGCCGCGCGGAGGCAGCGAUGAGUUAAAGCGGUCAGUUUCUGGGCUGGUUCGGGCACGCAGAGGGGUGCAGACGUGAGAGAGCGCGAGGAGUCAAUGGGGGACACGGGCUGGGAACUGUGGUGCGCUUAGGGGAUUCUCGCCGUGCCUGUACGAGGCUUGUGGUCAACGUCCGCGAUUGCUGGCGUUGUAAUGCGUUCGUGGGGAAGUGGAGUGUUCGUGGGGGUUGAGGUGGUGUUGUAGUAUUAGGGUACAGGGAGGGGGGCUCGACGUGGAGCUGUUUUUUUUCGGGCUUUGGUCGUGUGGGAGAGUGUGGAGCAAAAUGAAGUGGAGCGGCUGAGGGAAGCAGGCCGGGGGCUGUGCGCGGGAGGUUCCUCGCUCUGAGCAGUUAGAACACAACGAAGGAACUUUUACACGUUAGGGUGCGUGUGUGGUACGGUGAGGAGGACCAAAGACCAUAGAAACUGGCGGACUCGCAGCGCAGAGCGGUGGGAGGAAGGCGAUGGGUUUUCCGCGUUUCAGCGCGCAUGCGUGUCACUGCCUGGAGGACCAAACACCAUAGAAAUUGGCGGGCUUGCGGCGCAGAGCGUUCAGAACAGGGAGGUACUUUUCAUAGGAGGUGUGGAAGAAAUGUGAGAAAGAGGUGUCUUAGAUGAGAGGAGACGACUGGACUAUGUGGAUCAAGGGAGAAGAGUUGAGUUGUGUGUUCUAGAAUACAAAAGUGACUUUGUUGUACAGUUUCAUCGGCCUGAUGAUUCUCUGCUGGAAAUCAGUGGAUGACUCAAAGCAAAGACAAAAGGCAGCCAAGUGUCAGACAGCAAAAGACAACACCGUUUUUCUUUCUUCAUGACAGCUGGGAUGAACAUUUGCAAGAUACGGAUCCAAAUGUUUCUUUUAAGGAUUGUGGCCUGAGGCCACCGCCGUGUCAGUCACCCACAUGUUAACUCUGGCAACAAACCAAGUAUUGAAUUCUUGCAGAAACGCCGAAAAGAUCGUUAGAAAAAAAGAAAAGCUUAUGUGUACAUACAUACUAUGAAGAGCAUUUGAGUGAGCAAACCCAGAAGGUGGGUUUGAGGACGGACCGGGCUGCAAGCUUCCAACCUGCGUAGUACAGAAGGACUCUCAGCAACUGGCCCAAGAGGAAACUGAAGAUGACUUGGUCCUGUGCUGUAGUAACAACACUUCACUGCUUUGGAAAAACAAUAAAAAGAAGAAAGAAAAAAGAAAGCAUUGAGAGUUCCAACACCAUAAAAAGAUAAGAAACAGAAUGUAUUUUGAGUGAAAGUGGAAAAGUCUUGUGUUACGCAACACAGUCAUGCAGAAAUCUCCAAAACAGGUGUGUUCAUAACAGCAUGGCACUGAGCAUGGAUUAAUUCAUUACAGCUGAGAUACUCCUAGGUUCUGAUUGGAAUAGUUUGUGGGUACAUCUUCUCACAGAUGUUCCAGCUCAGAUAUGUUACUGCCUCAGGCCUGCACUUGUACCAUUGGUUCUUGUGGUUUGGCUGAACUGGAGCAAGAGGAACAGAAAGACACAAGGGCUGUUUGCAAAGAAAAACAUAUAGAGGGGGAAAGUAGAAGCAGUUAAACAAAUAAAGAGGUAUUGAAGAGAAGGAAAAUCAAUGAGUCAUAAGUGAACAUGGACGAACUUUCAGAGGAAGUGAUGCAUGCAUGUAGAUGGAUAUUGGAUAUUACAUAGAGGGUAUUUCAAUGCUGGCAUUUGAUUUGAAAGAACAACCAGGCAGGUCCACUUUCUCUCCCUACUAAUUUACAUGAAAUUACUAACUCUCCUCUAAUUUGUAUUAGGACAUUUCAAAGCUCUGCGUGAUUUCCAAAGGCAAUUUGUGCCAAUGGGAAGGUAUACACACAGCAUAUGAAUGAGUACAAGGGAACUUGAUCAAAAUUCCAGUCUCAUGUAUUUUUUCUGAACACUUGCUGCACUCCUUUCAGAUCUGGAAAAUUGCAGGCUGACAUAUCUCUGGAUUUUUUAUGUUGUGCUUCUUUUCUCCUAAGAUCUACGCCCUACUGGUUCUGGGAAACUUGUGACCUCUGCAUUUUUAAUUAGAACUUGUAACAUUUUCCAUAGCAACAUAUUUUGAUGUCGCAAAUACAGAACCUGUCAAAUCAAACAAUUUCAAAGUGCAAAGCUACGGCCUUCUGGUCAAUUGAAGUCCAAGUACAUGAAAACACUGAGAUGCAAGGAAGACUGAAAAUUAUUUGUUGGUUAACUCAUAGCUUUGAUCUUCAUAAUUAAUAAAUCAGUACAGAUAUAAAAGAAUUACAUUGCAUGCUGGAGUGGUUUAGAUGAACUCAGUACUAAUUUCAUCGCACGUGAGAGCAGAUAGAAUCCAUCUGUCUGACUGGUGUGCCAGUACUAACAUGGUACAAAGGAGAGGAUCUAUUUCUAGGAAAUAGUCGAGAUGUGGAACAAACUUCACUCACAUGAUGAGCUGUGUGAGCAGGAAGUGAAGAAAACAGAAAUCCUCUGAAACGAGGCCUGAGCUCAGAUUUCAACAGACCCACAAUAUGAGCAGGAAUAAUAAUAAUGGGUUAAGAAAAGCAGUGUAACUUAGCACUUAAAUAUGUAUAUUAAAAAUAAGUCAUUUAUUUAUGAUACAUGCCCUGCAAGUGCCAAAUAAUACUUCUGUCAAGUCUGAAGAACAUAAACUGAGAAUUUUUGUCAUUCAGAUAUACUUAUCUUUCCUUUUCCUGCUUUAAGCUAAGACUAAUGGCCAAGGAAGUCAUAUUUUCCUGCCAUUACUAAGACUGCACAAGGUAAUUUGCCCCUCUGCAAGGACAUCCACGUGUAACUGUUAGUAACACCAGCAGCCACGAGAUAUGGAUAUGAUCAUCAAGUCUUACUAAAACAAAUGCUGAAUACCAUGAACCUUUCAGGAGGAAAAGGCAAGUGUCAAUGUGGAAUGCGGUAAGAACUUUCUUGUUUCUGGUAGCAUUGGGUAUGUGACUGCUAUCCCUCUUCUUAUUCCAUCUAUUUCCACUUUUUACAAAAAAAAAAAAAAAAAAAAAAAAAAAAAAACACUGGAAUAUUAAGUUAAUAUUAAGUUAAACGUGGUAUGUUUCAACCUUGCAUUGCAGAUAAGGAAUUCCUGGAGUUCCUGAAUCCUGCGUGAUUGCAGGCAGCUCAGCUGAGUGUGCAUAAGGGAAAGGGGAACAAAAAUAUAAGAUUUUUCUGUUUCCUACCAAUUAUCUGAUAUUUCCCCUCUACUGUCUUUGGUGUAAAAGAAAACCAAAGUUCAGCCUUCUAGGAAAUGUAUUCUGGUAACCUGAAAGACUUUAUAAAUAGAGUGCACAAAUAGAUGACAGUACUUCCAUGACAUAGAUUUUCUGCUUUAGAAUGAAAUGCUUCAUUUGAAAAAGCUCCUAAAAUUGUUAGAACAGUAAUUUAAAAAAAAAAAAAAAGUUUAAACUCCACAAUUGAAUACAAAAAACGUUGCUGUGAAGGUUUUGAUUUCCAAGAAAUCCAUUUUAAACGUAUUUACAAAGUUUACAUAGAAGAAUAGAUCUGCUGCUAUCUAUAACAUUCACUUCUGUAGUAGAACAGCUAAUUUGCGACUAUUGGAUGAGAGAUACAGAAAGAGUCACUUUAGUGAAAGAAAAAAAAAACAUAUUAUUUUAAGGACAAAUAGUAAAAAAUGAUUGUUUUGGAGUUUAGAGACACAGAGUUUGAAGGAUUUUGCCCUCCGAUGCAGACUGCUCAUGCUUAUGCUGUAGCAAAGGAGGAGCAUCUUGACUACAAGAGUCUUAGUGGAAGAAAACUGGCAAUGCCUUUAUAAAAAUGUAUUUAAUUUCUGUGUUUGCAGUUUUCCCAGCUUCAUCCCUAGGUCCUGGCCUCAAGGGCCCUAGAGAUGUCACAGUUUUAAACAGUCUUAUAAAUCUAGGAGGGGAAAUGAGCUGUCUCUCAUCUUAAACAGAGAGCCUUGGAGAAUGUCUAUGGGGCUUUACCAAUGGAGCUGCCGAAAACAAAGCUAUGAUUCAGGGGUCUCUGACCUUUCCCAGCCCUCCUCCACCAGUGUCAGCCUGCAGCCUGCUCUUUAAAAGUUUCUGCUCACCCAGGGAGCAAAAUUAGAAAUCUUCUCCAGGGACAAUUUUUCUUCCAUCAAGCCACUCAUCAGCCCACUGAGGCAUGGAAACCAAAAAGGAAAAAGUGAGUUAAAAGAAUGUAUGUCUCUUGGUAAGGAUUUCCCACAGCAGAGUGUAAGUGUCCAGACUACCUCAUCAGCAGAGUCCCAGCCUUUACUAUAGGUCUUGGUAUUCAGUCUGUACUGUAGUGGUAUAGAAAAGUGCCAAGCACUGUGCAGGUGAUGCAUGCAUCAAUACAGCAGAUGUGGAGGUGUGUUUGAACUGCUUAACAUCAGCACUUACCAAAUGUUGAAGACACUCUAGCCCCUACGACAAAUAAAAGCAUUCAUUCAGAUGUGCAUGGCAUUUCAGGAAUGGAAUCAUUAUUAUCUUCUCCGAAAAUGUUUUGUCUUAUGUUUAAUAUAAUAUAAUAUAUAUUGCUUAUUGGAAACAAAUCCUUGUUAGUCUCGUUGUUUGUUUGUUUCCUAAUUGUGGAUCACCACAGAACAGGGUACAGUUCAUAAAUACCUCAAAUAUCUGAAAGGUGAUUGCAGCAGAGCAGGGCUGGUCUCUUCUCACUGGUGGCAGGAUGAGGAGAAAUGGCCUCAGGCUGCACCAGGGGAGGUUUAGGUCGGAUAUCAGGAAGAAUUUCUUUACAGAAAGGGUUGUUAAGCUCUGGAAUGGGCUCCCCAGGGAGGUGUUGAGUCACCAUCCCUGGAUGUGUUUAAAAUCCAUCUGGAUGUGGUGCUCAGGGACAUGAUUUAGUGGAGGGUUGUUAGAGUUUGGGUAGUAUGGUUGGGUCUUGAUUGGACUCAAUGAUCUUUAAGGUCUUUUCCAAGCAAAUUCUAUGAUUUCCGGAGCAAUUCUAUGAUUCUGUCAUUUAAUAUGGAGAAAAUUCAAGUAAACUAAAAAUCAGAUUUAAAAGAUAACCUGGUGCAAUGUACUUUUAUUUAUUAAUUUGUUUAUUUUUAUUCCCCAGGCCUUUUUAAAGUUAACCCUAGAAAACACCCCAUGUUGGCGACUCCUUGUAAUUCAUGUCAAUGUUCUUUCAGCAGCACAGUUGCUGCUUCCACGCCGUGAGCAUCUCCUGUAUUUGCUUUAGAACUGCUUCCUGCUGAUGCGUUAAGCACAGGAAGUGAAAGGGUCUGUUGUCGAUUCCAUAACUACCUCCCCCCAUUCAGCUGAAGGAAGGGAAAUAAGAAAAUUGAAAGGUCAGACUUCUGAAGUCAUCUUCGCCACGUGCUUAACAUUUACAUCAUCAAAUUAAUGGAAUGACUGCAACCACAAGCACAAAAGAUAAAGGACAGAAGCUCUUUUUCCUUCGCAGUACAAAUCCUUCUCACAGAACCUCACACUGAAUCUUUUCCCAGCUGUACAGGAUUUACUUCCCAUUCUCUUCCAAGAUGCCAGAAACUCAGCCUCUAGCUAAAGCCUGCUAAGACAACUCUUUUUUGUUUCUCUUGGUGAAGCAGACGCACCGCAUUCUGAACGCUUGCACUUUCCACCAUGAGAAGUGUUCUGGGAGAGAAAGCCCCAAAAGAUCAAAUGUUAUCAUUUCUCAUUAAGUCAGUUUACACCACUGUUGUCAGUCAGUGUAAGGAACAUUAAUAAGUACAAGCUGUGGUAAAUUCCUGGAGGUCGCCUUGCAGUGAUAAGGAAGCCUUGCAGUGAUCUGGAAGCCUACCUGCCUGCCAUGGAGCCCAAAGGCAGUCAUGCCAUCCCAUCCAUCUCCCUGAAGUCAAACUGGGCCCUGAAGUCUGAAGACUGCAAUAUUUCGUGUAGUUCUGCCUACAUACCAAACAUCCUCAGCAUCAAAAAUCCACUUGGCAGGUCUUUGGGCAGGCACUGAGUUUUCAUAUGUAUCAACCCGUCCAUGUAGAAUGAGAGCCUUUUCACCUGCGUGUAACUUGUUAAUGUGAGCAAAUAAAGCAUCUGGGAAGGGCAGGGAAAGGAAGGGGGAAAAGAAUAAGGUCAGAUCUGUAAAGUAAGUCGAUCUCUAAGGAUUAAGCAGUGCUUCUUUGUAGAGAUCCUCCACCAAAAAAAAAAAAAAACCCAGACAAGAUUCAGUGCUCUCAACAUAAACCACUAUGGAGACCAGCUGAACUCUUGGCAGAUAUCACAGGGUACCCCAAAAAGACAUAAAACAUAUGAUAAGGUGCUAAAUGCAACAUUAUCCAUGUAGCAUCUUUUAUUCAGCAUCUACAGUCAUCUGGGGUAGGCAAACUCAGGCCAGGGCAGCAGUAGUUGAGGUUUAUGUCCAAGGAUCAAGAUUAAAUUUAAAUAAGACACACAUUGCUUGCUUUUUUGUUAGCUGAGGCAAAGAGGACAUCACUCAUUCAGUCUGCAAACACUCCCACUGUGACACACUCAGUGCUAAACUGAGAAACGUUCUUAGGAAUGUCAUAGGUGAGGAAAUGAGCAGCAGCAAAUGGUACCUCCGCUUUGAUACCUGGGUUCAUGGAAACUUAUUUGAAGUGAUGUAAUAGGGCACAACCAUUUACCAGGUGUUGCCUAUUGAGAGGGAAAACUAUACAAAGCCACAUCUGACUUUAAACAGGUUCCUGUAAUGCUAAUUUACUUAGAGAUGGCACCUGGACAGGACAUUGUCUUCAGGAAGCUGUAGUGCACAGCCCAAGAAAUACACACAAACAGCUGUAAUUACUAAUAAGAACACACGUUUACAUUUGUAAGUGUUGGAAAGCCUUCAAUUUAGCAUCUCUAUAAAUGCUGGAAAGCUCUUAGAAUAAAUGACCAGAAUCCCUCCUUCCUUGGGAAGCCAGCAAGGGCCCCACCUGACGGCUCUCCCAACGAAGAGUGUUGGAAGCCAUUUUUUGCAGCUGGGGAAGGAAAAUACAAGCUUAGGGGAAGAAUCUAUCACAACUUCCAGCAUGAGAAGGAAAGCAAGAGACAACUUGUCUGAGUCUGCCUUCUUGCAGCAGGAGGGCUACGAAAGUGUUUUUAAUGUCAGUCAAAACCAUUCUCCACGAUGGAUAAAACACAACAGAAGUGGACCAGGUCCAGUUUUGGGGAGUGAUGCUUUCUGACUGUGAUGGUGCUGUGGUGAAUAUUUCACAUCAGUGUCCGCUUUGUAAAAUUCAAGAUCUGAGUAUCUCUCUAUGCUGUUCGCCUUCUAUAGUGGUUUCCAGCGUAGCUUGCUUUCUUCAACAAUCAACAUCACCUACUAUCUGCAGGCACAAAUUAUCUAUUAUUAUUAUUUCUGCAGUUUAACAACACAAAGCAAAAGCAGAAAUAAAAGGAGAGAACAAAAGCAGCUCGUGAAGUCCACAACAUGCAUAAGAUUUGAUAUACAAUGCAUUAACUUCUCCCCAUUCGGUCCCCACGAGGACAGCGGCUCCAGGGCUGUGUGGUCCUAAAGCUUUAAAGUCAUUGAAAUUCUAAUCUUUAAAAAACACUGAAAGAUGAACUUUGACUGUACAAACCUUCAAAUAAAAAUAGCAUUUUUACUAAUGUGCUCUUCCCAAGUGCCUGCUUCUUCCUAGUAGGUUUCCCAUCCUAAUACUGUAUGUUUUUGCAGCUGGCAAUUGACACUGCCAAUGAGCCUUUAUGUUCAAUGUUAUUUAAUAGAUUCC
ensembl:lncRNA